GGAUGGGCCCGCGGCGCAUUAGCUGGUUGGUGAGGUAACGGCUCACCAAGGCGACGAUGCGUAGCCGACCUGAGAGGGUGAUCGGCCACACUGGGACUGAGACGCGGCCCAGACUCCUACGGGAGGCAGCAGUAGGGAAUUUUCCGCACUGGGCGAAAGCCUGACGGAGCAACGCCGCGUGAGUGAGGACGGCCUUCGGGUUGUAAGACUCUGUUCUUGAGGAAGAAUUCCUUCCAGGCGAACAGCCUGGAAGGUUGACGGUACUCAAGGAGAAAGCCCCGGCUAACUACGUGCCAGCAGCCGCGG
rnacentral:rRNA from 1 species